AUAGUUUGCCGUAGCUUUCUCAUAGGGUACCAUCACUUUCUUUUUCCCCUAUAACAGAAGUUUACAAUCCGAAAACCUUCUUCCCUCACGCGGCGUUGCUGGGUCAGGCUUGCGCCCAUUGCCCAAUAUUCCCCACUGCUGCCUCCCGUAGGAGUCUGGACCGUGUCUCAGUUCCAGUGUGGCCGAUCAGCCUCUCAGCUCGGCUACCCAUCGCAGGCUUGGUGGGCUGUUAUCUCACCAACUACCUAAUGGGACGCGAACCCCUCCCUCAGCGGAUUGCUCCUUUGACCUCAUCCCGAUGCCGGGUCGUGGUCUUAUGCGGUAUUAGCACUUGUUUCCAGGUGUUAUCCCCCUCUGAAGGUCAGGUUGUUCACGCGUUACUCACCCGUUCGCCACUAAAAUUUAUCUUCCAUCCGAAAACUUCUGAUAAAUCUCCGUUCGACUUGCAUGUGUUAGGCACGCCGCCAGCGUUCGUCCUGAGCCACUAAUCAAACUACUGA
rnacentral:rRNA from 1 species